AUGCCUUCUGAGUAUUUGUUUUCACGAGGCAGGCUGCAGCCCAUUGCCUGUGUUUGCUGUUCAUACCGAUUCAGUGGAGAAUGUCAUUAAACCCACUGCCGUUUGGCAGAAUGCAGCAAUGGCAAGUGCUCCAGAUUCCUUUGUCUGUGGGACACGUCCGGGACCGAAAUACACCGAGGCAGCUGGCAGGUCACGUGACCGGGGGCUGCUAUUGUGCUCUUUAUUCGUCUCAUGGGCACAUAUGAAUAGUCCAAACCGCCACAUCUCCUAAUAUGCCGGCGAGCGUCAGGAUGUUGUUUAUACACGUCACCAUGGGAACCAGAGAUGCUGCCAGCUCACCCCGGGACUCGGCGAGGCCCGACCCAGACGGCCCACGGGCUGUGCCGGAUGCCAUCUGGACUUCCUGUUUGGUUCCGUUUGCUUUGCUAUUGUGACGGGUCCGGCGGGAGAAGCUGAU